rnacentral:rRNA from 1 species
UGGCGAAAGCCAGAACCAGUCAUGCCGCGUGCAGGAUGAAGGCCCUACGGGUCGUAAACUGCUUUUAUUCGGGAAGAAAAAGUCUGUUUCCACAGACCUUGACGGUACCGAUUGAAUAAGGACCGGCCAACUCCGUGCCAGCAGCCGCGGUAAUACGGAGGGUCCAAGCGUUAUCCGGAUUCACUGGGUUUAAAGGGUGCGCAGGCGGCUAAGUAAGUCAGUGGUGAAAGCCUUCGGCUCAACCGGAGAAUUGCCAUUGAAACUACUUAGCUUGAGUGCAGUAGAGGUAGGCGGAAUGUAGCAUGUAGCGGUGAAAUGCAUAGAUAUGCUACAGAACACCGAUAGCGAAAGCAGCUUACCACACUGUAACUGACGCUGAGGCACAAAAGCAUGGGUAG